AUCGGGGCGAGGAGCAAUCCUUGCCGCCGGCGACCGGCGCACGGGUGAGUAACACGUAUGCAACCUGCCCGUCUCAGGGGGAUAAUCGUCGGAAACGGCGUCUAAUACCCCGUAUGAAGCUGGACGGCAUCGUCUGGUUUUGAAAGAAUAUCGGAGACGGAUGGGCAUGCGGCGCAUUAGCUGGUUGGCGGGGUAACGGCCCACCAAGGCGACGAUGCGUAGGGGUUCUGAGAGGAAGGUCCCCCACACUGGUACUGAGACACGGACCAGACUCCUACGGGAGGCAGCAGUGAGGAAUAUUGGUCAAUGGGCGAGAGCCUGAACCAGCCAAGUCGCGUGAGGGAGUACUGCCCUAUGGGUUGUAGACCUCUUUUGUCGGGGAGCAAAAGCCGGACGUGUCCGGCUGUGAGAGUACCCGAAGAAAAAGCAUCGGCUAACUCCGUGCCAGCAGCCGCGGUAAUACGGAGGAUGCGAGCGUUAUCCGGAUUUAUUGGGUUUAAAGGGUGCGCAGGCGGAUUUUUAAGUCAGCGGUCAAAUCGUGGGGCUCAACCCCAUCCAGCCGUUGAAACUGGGGAUCUAGAGUGUGCGAGAGGUAUGCGGAAUGCGUGGUGUAGCGGUGAAAUGCAUAGAUAUCACGCAGAACCCCGAUUGCGAAGGCAGCAUACCGGUGCACAACUGACGCUCAGGCACGAAAGC
rnacentral:rRNA from 1 species